rnacentral:rRNA from 1 species
UACAGAGGGUGCGAGCGUUGUCCGGAAUCACUGGGCGUAAAGGGCGCGUAGGCGGUUGGAUAAGUCUUGUGUGAAAUCUUCGGGCUCAACUCGAAGUCUGCACGAGAAACUAUCUGGCUUGAGUGUGGGAGAGGUGAGUGGAAUUCCUGGUGUAGCGGUGAAAUGCGUAGAUAUCAGGAGGAACACCUGUGGCGAAAGCGGCUCACUGGACCACAACUGACGCUGAGGCGCGAAAGCUAGGGGAGCAAACAGG